UUCUCCCCGAAAGCUAUUUAGGUAGCGCCUCGUGAACUCAUCUCCGGGGGUAGAGCACUGUUUCGGCUAGGGGGCCAUCCCGGCUUACCAACCCGAUGCAAACUGCGAAUACCGGAGAAUGUUAUCACGGGAGACACACGGCGGGUGCUAACGUCCGUCGUGAAGAGGGAAACAACCCAGACCGCCAGCUAAGGUCCCAAAGUCAUGGUUAAGUGGGAAACGAUGUGGGAAGGCCCAGACAGCCAGGAUGUUGGCUUAGAAGCAGCCAUCAUUUAAAGAAAGCGUAAUAGCUCACUGGUCGAGUCGGCCUGCGCGGAAGAUGUAACGGGGCUAAACCAUG
rnacentral:rRNA from 1 species